rnacentral:lncRNA from 1 species
CCCAUUUCCUGAUAGCUUUAUCAGUAUGUUGGUGGUGUUGUUAAGGAUUUACACAUAGCUACUUGAAUUUUGAUCUAUCAAUGGAAUAUUUGUAGAGAUGCAUGUGGUACAGUUAAAAUGUUACAUGCCCCCAUUUCCUGAUAGCUUUAUCAGUAUGUCGGUGGUGCUGUUAAGGAUUUUGGAGGUUGUUCUGUACUUCUACACCCAACAUUUCCAAUCCCUUAAUUUGCAAAAGGAUAUUGCUUUAUAAAUGUGUUUCUUUAUGGUUCGAGAUUCAGCAUCUCUUCAUAGUUGUUGCGUUUCUAAGAUUGAGGUUGUUUAGAUUUUGGUUGCAAAUGUUCUUAGAAUUUUAUUUAUUUUUUUCUUUUCCUUUAAUAUUUUCUUGAAAAAAAUAUUGCCAGCUGGGCUUUUUAAUAUUUCAGUUUAGUUAAUUAUUGAAAUUCAUAUUCCUGUCUUAAGAACCAAUUUCAAUGACUUUGUUUAAAUGUUCAAAUAUUUGUGCAG